rnacentral:snRNA from 1 species
AGCUUUGUGCAGUGGCAGUAUCGUAGCCAAUGAGGUUUAUCCGAGACGCGAUUAUUGCUAAUUGAAAACAGCAACCUAGCUGUCCGCUGCCUGUCUGUGGUCCGGGGACGGGUGGGGCUGUGCCACAGCUCGGGCA